CCUACGGGGGACAGCAGUGGGGGAUAUUGCACAAUGGGGGCAACCCUGAUGCAGCGACGCCGCGUGGGCGCAGAAGUCUUUCGGUAUGUAAACCCCUAUCAGCAGGGAAGAAGAAAUGACGGUACCUGUGUAAUAAGCAACGGCUAACUACGUGCCAGCAGCCGCGGUAAUACGUAGGGUGCAAGCGUUAUCCGGAUUUACUGGGUGUAAAGGGAGUGCAGCCGGCCUGGCAAGCCUGAUGUGAAAGCCUGCGGCCUAACCGCAGGACUGCAUUUGGAACUAUCGGGCUGGAGUACGGGAGAGGUAGGCGGAAUGCCUAGUGUAGCGGUGAAAUGCGUAGAUAUUAGGAGGAACACCAGUGGCGAAGGCGGUCGACUGGACGGUAACUGACGGUGAGGCGCGAAAGCGUGGGGAGCAAACAGGAUUAGAUACCCCUGUAGUC
rnacentral:rRNA from 1 species